ensembl:lncRNA
AUUUGCGAAUGUGCUGGGAGAAGGGAGGAAGGAAAGAAGAAGGGAAGGGAAGGAUGCAGGAAGGAAGAUUUCCAUCCACAUGUGACACUUGCUGUUAUUUUGCUUUCAGUAAAACCAUAAAGAAGGAAAGUGAACCUAUGCGGUCUGGAGGAAAUGUCUUCUAGAGAGCUCAACACGUCUGGCCAGUGCUGUUCCAGUUUUAACACUCAUCUGGAACCUGUAACAUGCUAAUUCACUGGACAACAAUUAUAACCCUGGUGUUAGGAAUCAAGAAAGACAUAUAGAUUUUCCAUCCAAUAGCG